rnacentral:rRNA from 1 species
UACGUAGGGUGCAAGCGUUGUCCGGAAUUAUUGGGCGUAAAGAGCUUGUAGGCGGUUUGUCGCGUCGACUGUGAAAACUCGGGGCUCAACUCCGAGCUUGCAGUCGAUACGGGCAGGCUAGAGUUCGGUAGGGGAGACUGGAAUUCCUGGUGUAGCGGUGAAAUGCGCAGAUAUCAGGAAGAACACCCGUGGCGAAGGCGGCUCUCUGGGACGGUACUGACGCUGAGACGCGAAAGCGUGGGGAGCGAACAGG